CUUCAGGCUCGCAGAGAUUUGUGUUAAGAUCGCGCUGACCGAGAUGGAAAUCAGGUUUUCUACCCGAGCUUCUGCAGGGUACAGUACUGUGAUAACUGAAGGAUGGCAGCCAUCUGAGCUUCACGGGAUCCCGGGAACGACAGCCUGCUCACCUGGAGUGUGCUCCUUUUACCUGUGUCCUUGGGCAUAAAAAUACGAUUUAUCUGAAUAAAAUAUUACACAGUU